rnacentral:rRNA from 1 species
GAUGAACGCUGGCGGCGUGCCUAAUACAUGCAAGUCGAGCGAACAGACGAGGAGCUUGCUCCUCUGACGUUAGCGGCGGACGGGUGAGUAACACGUGGAUAACCUACCUAUAAGACUGGGAUAACUUCGGGAAACCGGAGCUAAUACCGGAUAAUAUAUUGAACCGCAUGGUUCAAUAGAGAAAGACGGCUUUGCUAUCACUUAUAGAUGGAUCCGCGCCGCAUUAGCUAGUUGGUAAGGUAACGGCUUACCAAGGCAACGAUGCGUAGCCGACCUGAGAGGGGGAUCGGCCACACUGGAACGGAGACACGGUCCAGACUCCUACGGGAGGCAGCAGUAGGGAAUCUUCCGCAAUGGGCGAAAGCUUGACGGAGCAACGCCGCGUGAGUGAUGAAGGUCUUCGGAUCGUAAAACUCUGUUAUUAGGGAAGAACAAAUGUGUAAGUAACUAUGCACGUCUUGACGGUACCUAAUCAGAAAGCCACGGCUAACUACGUG